GCCGGAGUGGCGGAAUUGGCAGACGCGCCUGACUCAAAAUCAGGUGAGGUUCACCCCUCGUGCCGGUUCGAGUCCGGCCUCCGGCA
rnacentral:tRNA from 1 species